UCCGUAGGUGAACCUGCGGAAGGAUCAUUAAAGAAAUUUAAUAAUUUUGAAAAUGGAUUUUUUUUUUUGUUUUGGCAAGAGCAUGAGAGCUUUUACUGGGCAAGAAGACAAGAGAUGGAGAGUCCAGCCGGGCCUGCGCUUAAGUGCGCGGUCUUGCUAGGCUUGUAAGUUUCUUUCUUGCUAUUCCAAACGGUGAGAGAUUUCUGUGCUUUUGUUAUAGGACAAUUAAAACCGUUUCAAUACAACACACUGUGGAGUUUUCAUAUCUUUGCAACUUUUUCUUUGGGCAUUCGAGCAAUCGGGGCCCAGAGGUAACAAACACAAACAAUUUUAUCUAUUCAUUAAAUUUUUGUCAAAAACAAGAAUUUUCGCAACUGGAAAUUUUAAAAUAUUAAAAACUUUCAACAACGGAUCUCUUGGUUCUCGCAUCGAUGAAGAACGCAGCGAAAUGCGAUACGUAAUGUGAAUUGCAGAAUUCCGUGAAUCAUCGAAUCUUUGAACGCACAUUGCGCCCCUUGGUAUUCCAGGGGGCAUGCCAGUUUGAGCGUCAUUUCCUUCUCAAACAUUCUGUUUGGUAGUGAGUGAUACUCUUUGGAGUUAACUUGAAAUUGCUGGCCUUUUCAUUGGAUGUUUUUUUUCCAAAGAGAGGUUUCUCUGCGUGCUUGAGGUAUAAUGCAAGUACGGUCGUUUUAGGUUUUACCAACUGCGGCUAAUCUUUUUUUAUACUGAGCGUAUUGGAACGUUAUCGAUAAGAAGAGAGCGUCUAGGCGAACAAUGUUCUUAAAGUUUGACCUCAAAUCAGGUAGGAGUACCCGCUGAACUUAAGCAUAUCAAUAAGCGGAGGA
rnacentral:rRNA from 1 species